rnacentral:rRNA from 1 species
CAGUCGCCGCGGUAAUACGGAGGGUGCAAGCGUUAAUCGGAAUUACUGGGCGUAAAGCGCACGCAGGCGGUCUGACAAGUCAGAUGUGAAAUCCCCGGGCUUAACCUGGGAACUGCAUUUGAAACUGUCAGGCUGGAGUCUUGUAGAGGGGGGUGGAAUUCCAGGUGUAGCGGUGAAAUGCGUAGAGAUCUGGAGGAAUACCGGUGGCGAAGGCGGCCCCCUGGACAAAGACUGACGCUCAGGUGCGAAAGCGUGGGGAGCAAACAGGAUUAGAUACCCCGGUAGUCCUGUCUCUUAUACC